rnacentral:rRNA from 1 species
GUCUUAAUUGGGCGUUAAGUUGCAGGGUAUAGACCCGAAACCCGGUGAUCUAGCCAUGGGCAGGUUGAAGGUUGGGUAACACUAACUGGAGGACCGAACCGACUAAUGUUGAAAAAUUAGCGGAUGACCUGUGGCUGGGGGUGAAAGGCCAAUCAAACCGGGAGAUAGCUGGUUCUCCCCGAAAGCUAUUUAGGUAGCGCCUCGUGAAUUCAUCUCCGGGGGUAGAGCACUGUUUCGGCUAGGGGGCCAUCCCGGCUUACCAACCCGAUGCAAACUGCGAAUACCGGAGAAUGUUAUCACGGGAGACACACGGCGGGUGCUAACGUCCGUCGUGAAGAGGGAAACAACCCAGACCGCCAGCUAAGGUCCCAAAGUCAUGGUUAAGUGGGAAACGAUGUGGGAAGGCCCAGACAGCCAGGAUGUUGGCUUAGAAGCAGCCAUCAUUUAAAGAAAGCGUAAUAGCUCACUGGUCGAGUCGGCCUGCGCGGAAGAUGUAACGGGGCUAAACCAUGCACCGAAGCUGCGGCAGCGACGCUUAUGCGUUGUUGGGUAGGGGAGCGUUCUGUAAGCCUGCGAAGGUGGCCUGUGAGGGUUGCUGGAGGUAUCAGAAGUGCGAAUGCUGACAUAAGUAACGAUAAAGCGGGUGAAAAGCCCGCUCGCCGGAAGACCAAGGGUUCCUGUCCAACGUUAAUCGGGGCAGGGUGAGUCGACCCCUAAGGCGAGGCCGAAAGGCGUAGUCGAUGGGAAACGGGUUAAUAUUCCCGUACUUGGUGUUACUGCGAAGGGGGGACGGAGAAGGCUAUGUUGGCCGGGCGACGGUUGUCCCGGUUUAAGCGUGUAGGUGUGUGUUCCAGGUAAAUCCGGUUCACUUUAACACUGAGGCGUGACGACGAGGCACUACGGUGCUGAAGCAACAAAUGCCCUGCUUCCAGGAAAAGCCUCUAAGCAUCAGGUAACAUCAAAUCGUACCCCAAACCGACACAGGUGGUCAGGUAGAGAAUACCAAGGCGCUUGAGAGAACUCGGGUGAAGGAACUAGGCAAAAUGGUGCCGUAACUUCGGGAGAAGGCACGCUGACACGUAGGUGAAGUGAUUUACUCAUGGAGCUGAAGUCAGUCGAAGAUACCAGCUGGCUGCAACUGUUUAUUAAAAACACAGCACUGUGCAAACACGAAAGUGGACGUAUACGGUGUGACGCCUGCCCGGUGCCGGAAGGUUAAUUGAUGGGGUCAGCGCAAGCGAAGCUCCUGAUCGAAGCCCCGGUAAACGGCGGCCGUAACUAUAACGGUCCUAAGGUAGCGAAAUUCCUUGUCGGGUAAGUUCCGACCUGCACGAAUGGCGUAAUGAUGGCCAGGCUGUCUCCACCCGAGACUCAGUGAAAUUGAACUCGCUGUGAAGAUGCAGUGUACCCGCGGCAAGACGGAAAGACCCCGUGAACCUUUACUAUAGCUUGACACUGAACAUUGAGCCUUGAUGUGUAGGAUAGGUGGGAGGCUUUGAAGUGUGGACGCCAGUCUGCAUGGAGCCGACCUUGAAAUACCACCCUUUAAUGUUUGAUGUUCUAACGUGGACCCGUUACCCGGGUUGCGGACAGUGUCUGGUGGGUAGUUUGACUGGGGCGGUCUCCUCCUAAAGAGUAACGGAGGAGCACGAAGGUUGGCUAAUCCUGGUCGGACAUCAGGAGGUUAGUGCAAUGGCAUAAGCCAGCUUGACUGCGAGCGUGACGGCGCGAGCAGGUGCGAAAGCAGGUCAUAGUGAUCCGGUGGUUCUGAAUGGAAGGGCCAUCGCUCAACGGAUAAAAGGUACUCCGGGGAUAACAGGCUGAUACCGCCCAAGAGUUCAUAUCGACGGCGGUGUUUGGCACCUCGAUGUCGGCUCAUCACAUCCUGGGGCUGAAGUAGGUCCCAAGGGUAUGGCUGUUCGCCAUUUAAAGUGGUACGCGAGCUGGGUUUAGAACGUCGUGAGACAGUUCGGUCCCUAUCUGCCGUGGGCGCUGGAGAACUGAGGGGGGCUGCUCCUAGUACGAGAGGACCGGAGUGGACGCAUCACUGGUGUUCGGGUUGUCAUGCCAAUGGCACUGCCCGGUAGCUAAAUGCGGAAGAGAUAAGUGCUGAAAGCAUCUAAGCACGAAACUUGCCCCGAGAUGAGUUCUCCCUGAGACUUAAAGUCUCCUGAAGGAACGUUGAAGACGACGACGUUGAUAGGCCG